CUUGAGGGAUUUGAUUGGUUGGUUCAGGACAUGAUGAUACCUUAGGAUCUAGUCAACAUUAAGCAAUAGAGUUAGGUUUUUUUUAUUGGCCCUCUCAGAGAACUGAUUAAGGUCCAUUUGUACUGUUUUAUUAACUAUCUUAUUGUUGUGGAAUUUAGUCAAGCUGUGAAUUCGACAAAAAAAUAAAAAAGUCAAGCUGUGAAACUUUUUGGGUCAAUAGUAUUAUUAAAACUUUCAAUGGGAAGUUUGGGUCAAUAUUAGUGACUAAUCAGCCAUAAAAGCAAAUUAAAUAAUAAAUAUUUUUUUGAUUUUACUACUAAUUUGCAACGAAAUAACGACCAAAUGCUCUUUUUUGAGGUGAUCAAAUAAUAACGAAAUAGCGAUCAAAUUAGCGAUCAUUUCGCGAUCAAAAUUUAGCGAUCAAAAAAUGGUCGCUGAUUGGUCACUAUUUAGUAAUACUUAAUUUGCCAUGACACCAAAUUAGCGACCAAAAAAUGGUCGCUGAUUGAUCGUUAUUUUGUAAUACUUAAUUUGCCAUGACACCAAAUUAGCGACCAAAAAAUGGUCGCUGAUUGGUCGCUAUUUUGUAAUAUUUAAUUUGCCAUGACACCAAAUUAGCGACCAAAAAAUGGUCGCUGAUUGUCGCUAUUUUAGCGACCAAUUUUCAGAUUGUCGCCAAAAAUUUAGCGACUGGCCAAACACCGACCAUUUCAUUUUGGUCGCUAAAUGGUCGCUAUUUC
rnacentral:lncRNA from 1 species